rnacentral:rRNA from 1 species
UAGGGAAUCUUCGGCAAUGGGGGGAACCCUGACCGAGCAACGCCGCGUGAGUGAAGAAGGUUUUCGGAUCGUAAAGCUCUGUUGUUAAGGAAGAACGAGUGUGAGAAUGGAAAGUUCAUACUGUGACGGUACUUAACCAGAAAGGGACGGCUAACUACGUGCCAGCAGCCGCGGUAAUACGUAGGUGGCAAGCGUUAUCCGGAAUUAUUGGGCGUAAAGCGCGCGUAGGCGGUUUUUUAAGUCUGAUGUGAAAGGCCACGGCUCAACCGUGGAGGGUCAUUGGAAACUGGUUGACUUGAGUGCAGAAGAGGAGAGUGGAAUUCCAUGUGUAGCGGUGAAAUGCGUAGAUAUAUGGAGGAACACCAGUGGCGAAGGCGACUCUCUGGUCUGUAACUGACGCUGAGGCUCGAAAGCGUGGGUAGCAAACAGG